ncrna:Canis lupus familiaris (dog) microRNA cfa-mir-8908f precursor
UGUGUGCAGUGCCCUACUCAGAAAGGUGGUCAUCACAUAGACUCACUUGUAGUGACUGCAAGCCUGAGUAGAGCAAAGCUCACCA